GACGAACGCUGGCGGCGUGCCUAAUACAUGCAAGUCGAGCGGACGGAUGGGAGCUUGCUCCCAGACCGUCAGCGGCGGACGGGUGAGUAACACGUGGGCAACCUGCCUGUAAGCCUGGGAUAACUCCGGGAAACCGGGGCUAAUACCGGAUAACUCUUUCCCUCACCUGAGGGAAAGCUGAAAGAUGGCAUCUCGCUAUCACUUACAGAUGGGCCCGCGGCGCAUUAGCUAGUUGGUGAGGUAACGGCUCACCAAGGCGACGAUGCGUAGCCGACCUGAGAGGGUGAUCGGCCACACUGGGACUGAGACACGGCCCAGACUCCUACGGGAGGCAGCAGUAGGGAAUCUUCCGCAAUGGACGAAAGUCUGACGGAGCAACGCCGCGUGAGUGAUGAAGGUUUUCGGAUCGUAAAACUCUGUUGUCAGGGAAGAACAAGUACCGGAGUAACUGCCGGUACCUUGACGGUACCUGACCAGAAAGCCACGGCUAACUACGUG
rnacentral:rRNA from 1 species